ACAUCGGAAUUUCAAUCCGAGUCCCACACAGUAUGACUAAAACGCAUGAACGCCCCUCCACGUGCGAUCCCUUGCGAAACGGUACAUAAAAUAUAGCGACUUUUGCGAAAAUACCGUUUUGCCACUACCGACCUCUCCUCGAUCAACGCGCGAUCUCCGCAGAUCCGUCAGUCAGAUUCGCGAACGGAUCACACUAGUGCGAUCAGCACGACAGAGACAACAAAACUGCGAUUUCGUUUCGUCUCGAUCGACCACAGAUUCACGACAAAAUCCAACCUUUCGUUCCAAUCGAAAGAAACACACAAAAAUACAUAUAAAACAUGUAUUUUUGGAUUUUCUCGAA
rnacentral:lncRNA from 1 species